AGAGUUUGAUCAUGGCUCAGAUUGAACGCUGGCGGCAGGCUUAACACAUGCAAGUCGAGCGGAAACGAUGGUAGCUUGCUACCAGGCGUCGAGCGGCGGACGGGUGAGUAAUACUUAGGAAUCUACCUAGUAGUGGGGGAUAGCACGGGGAAACUCGUAUUAAUACCGCAUACGACCUACGGGAGAAAGGGGGCAGUUUACUGCUCUCGCUAUUAGAUGAGCCUAAGUCGGAUUAGCUAGAUGGUGGGGUAAAGGCCUACCAUGGCGACGAUCUGUAGCUGGUCUGAGAGGAUGAUCAGCCACACCGGGACUGAGACACGGCCUGGACUCCUACGGGAGGCAGCAGUGGGGAAUAUUGGACAAUGGGGGAAACCCUGAUCCAGCCAUGCCGCGUGUGUGAAGAAGGCCUUUUGGUUGUAAAGCACUUU
rnacentral:rRNA from 1 species